GACGAACGCUGGCGGCGUGCUUAACACAUGCAAGUCGAACGGUAAGGCCCUUCGGGGUACACGAGUGGCGAAGGGGUGAGGAACACGUGGGUGAUCUGCCCUGCACUUCGGGAUAAGCCUGGGAAACUGGGUCUAAUACCGGAUAGGACCACUGCCUGCAUGGGUGGUGGUGGAAAGCUUUUGCGGUGUGGGAUGGGCCCGCGGCCUAUCAGCUUGUUGGUGGGGUGAUGGCCUACCAAGGCGUCGACGGGUAGCCGGCCUGGGAGGGCGACCGGCCACACUGGGACUGAGAUACGGCCCAGACUCCUACGGGAGGCAGCAGUGGGGAAUAUUGCACAAUGGGCGCAAGCCUGAUGCAGCGACGCCGCGUGAGGGAUGACGGCCUUCGGGUUGUAAACCUCUUUCAGCACCGACGAAGCGCAAGUGACGGUAGGUGCAGAAGAAGGACCGGCCAACUACGUGCCAGCAGCCGCCGUAAAAC
rnacentral:rRNA from 1 species